UGUGUGUCUGAGCGUGUGUGUGUGUGUGUGUGUGUGUGUGUGUGCGUUGGUGCGACCGGACUGUUGGGACUAAACACCUGAAUACAUACCGUCACUAUGAGCACACACCGUAACUGUUGGAACAGCGCUACUGUCCCGAUAAGUCGGGCGGCAUACACGUGUUCUAACAUGCGUGACUUACUACCUCCCGCGUUUUCUCGUUAUGUCCUGAUGUUUACGGUGAACCCGUUUUUCUGUGUGUAUCAGUGUAUGCUCAUAGUGUAUAAUCUCCCACUAUCGUCCCUUUCCUGCUACUGCUGCUCCAUACACAUUAGAGCGCGUCACAGUCGCGUUUCAUUGGUCUAGCCGCAGAACUCCUCGCCCGCGAUUGGCUGGAUUUUUAUCGACUUUCAUUGGUCGAUCAGCGGAAUCCCCGUCAGCGAUUGGCUGGAUUUCAUGUCAAUCAAUAUCAACCCGCUUCACGUUUCCAAUUGGCUGCCGAAGACACGAGAGGUAGACCUUUAAUUCCGCCGGAGUAAAGCAACUACGAAAGAGAACUAUUUGUGCAUCUUAAAGCAUCGAUGCUUCACAAAAGGAUGGAUAACUGGUAUGCCGUAAUGAUGGUCACAGAAAUCCUAAAUGAAGGCAGUAGUUCUGUUUCUGUUUACUACAAGGGAUAUCUUUCCAAAUGAGGAAAUUACCCACAACUAUGGUGAUUCUUCUUGGCCAUGGCAUUCAAGGGAAUUGCAUGAAGCAUCAUUGGUGACUGAGAUUGAAUGCAGUGUGAAAACUUCCAUGUCAGGGAAAGAGAAACAAUUAUGUGAAAAGUCAUCAAUGGCAAUGAUUGAAUGUGGUUCGAAAAAUUUCUACAUCAGGGAAGGAGAAAAAAUUGCAUGAAGAGUCAUUGGUGACUGGGAUCAAAUGCUGUGCGAAAACUUCUACAUCAGGGAAAGAGACAGAGUUGAAUGAAGAGUCAUUGGUGACUGGGAUCAAAUGCAGUGCGAAAACUUCCAAGUCAGGGAAAGAGACAGAAUUAUGUGAAGAGUCAUCAAUGGCGAGGAUCAAAUGCAGUGCAGAAACUUCCACAUCAGGGAAAGAGACAUGUCGCCAUGAAGUACACAGUGCUGUUGUUUCCAGUUUGCAUUCUUGCGAUGGAUGUAGUGGUCCUAUGUUAAGUAGAAAAUGAAGACUUCAACUUGCAAAUACACCAAAUCAAGGAAAGUUAUGAUAAAAUUAUGGAGCACACUGAAGUGGAUGCAGUCAUGGAACAUUUUAAAAGGACACCUCACCACAAAAGCAGAGCGUGAUCAAUGCAAGAUAGCAGAAGACAAAGUUUUUUUUCCCUCUCCGCUGUCGCGACCCGCUUGCAUGGCUUGGGAUCGGUAGAGCUACGCAUCGAUGAAUUUGCUCUUCAGUGUUUGAACUCUCAGUAAUGAUUUAAACCACACUGAACUGAGCUAAACUGAACUGAACUUAAACACUAAAAACUGAACUACCCUGAUCCAGUUACUAUGACCAUUUAUGUGAAGCUGCUUUGACACCAUUUACAUUGUAAAAGCGCUAUACAAAUAAAGCUGAAUUGAAUUGAAUUAAAAGAAGAAUGUCAUGUACACCAAGGAUGACAUUACAGUAGGGCACAAUGCCUUUUCCCCCCCUUAGUCCUUCCCCUUCCCCCUACCCCUUGUUUUGCGCGUUCACGUCAAGGGGUAGGGCUGUCCCAAUUCUCUUUAGCUUGAAGGCGUUGGGCUAAGAGGAAGGGGUGAAUAGCCCUUUGAACAAAGAUUUUUCAGGUCCACACUUGAAACCAAGGGGUAAAAAAAAUUCCCACAAUACACCUGCCAUAGCUGCACCCAGAAGUAAGGAGAAUUUUUUAUUUAUUUAUUUAUUUAUUUAUUUUUAUGACAAACAAACAUGUUUCAAUAUAUUCAUAACUACGUUCAUGUUUUACUGUCAUAGUUUUCUUUUUAACGCUAUAAUUUGCAAUCUAUAAUCCAUAAUAAUCACUCCUUUGCAGCAGUCCCACAACAUUCUGACACUUGAUGACACUGGAAUACCCUGCCAGAAAAGUCUAGUGUCUGUGAUGAGCUGUUUACAGUGUCUGCUAUGAUGUUAGUGUGGUUUUCGUGUGUUUACAUAGAUGAAUAUGGCCACUGUGUGUAUAUAUACAGUACAGUUACAAUCUUAUUGCCACAUUAGAUCAUUAUGAUAACAUGAUGUGCCUUCAGUGAUUUCCUCAAGAUAAAUAUCAAAAAAUAACACAACUGAAAUAACUACAGCAGUCGCGAUCAUCUGAUCUCAUAUGAAGCAUAAAAUUACAAUGACAUAUGCUGUCCCAAUUCUUAUGGGUACAUCUGAAGCCCUUCCCUUUAACUUUUGGUUGUAGGGGCCAAGGGGAAGGGGUAGGGGUACAAAAAUAGAAUUGGGAUUGGGCCUAAAUCAGUUUUCAUUUUUUGGUUGAACUUUAAGGGGCAGGACCCUUAAAAAUGCUGUCAUUAAGCUGUUUUUUUAAGCCUUGUUGAAUAAAUGCAUUUGAGACAGUGA